GAUGAAGAACGCAGCGAAAUGCGAUAAGUAGUGUGAAUUGCAGAAUUCAGUGAAUCAUCGAAUCUUUGAACGCACAUUGCGCCCCUUGGUAUUCCAUGGGGCAUGCCUGUUCGAGCGUCAUUUGUACCUUCAAGCUCUGCUUGGUGUUGGGUGUUUGUCCUUGCUCUAGUGGCGGGACUCGCCUUAAAGUAAUUGGCAGCCAGGGUUUUGGUUUUGAAGCGCAGCACAAGUCGCGAUUCAAGUCUAUACGCUAGUUUCCACAAGUCUUUUAUCACUUUUGACCUCGGAUCAGGUAGGGAUACCCGCUGAACUUAAGCAUAUCAAUAAGCGGAGGA
rnacentral:misc_RNA from 1 species